AUUGAACGCUGGCGGCAGGCCUAACACAUGCAAGUCGAGCGAGCGGGGGAAGGGUGAGUAAGGUGUGGGGACUGCCCGAAAGAGGGGGGUAACUACUGGAAAAGGUGGCUAAUACAGCAUACUGUCGGAUAACCCAUAUGGGAUGAGCUAGUAGGUAAGGUAAUGGCUUACCUAGGCGACGAUCCCUAGAUGGGCUGAGAGGAUGAUCAGCCACACUGGGACUGAGACACGGCCCAGACUCCUACGGAGGCAGCAGUGGGGAAUAUUGCACAAGGGGCGCAAGCCUGAUGCAGCCAUGCCGCGUGUAUGAAGAAGGCCCUAGGGUUGUAAAGGACUUUCAGUCGGGAGGCGUUACCGACAGAAGAAGCACCGGCUAACUCCGUGCCAGCAGCCGCGGUAAUAC
rnacentral:rRNA from 1 species